rnacentral:rRNA from 1 species
UACGGAGGAUGCAAGCGUUAUCCGGGGUUUAUUGGGUUUAAAGGGUGCGUAGGCGGAUAUGUAAGUCAGCGGUGAAACUCACAGGCUCAACCUGUGCCGUGCCGUUGAAACUGUGUAUCUGGAAUGCGGAUGCUGUGGGAGGAAUGUGUAGUGUAGCGGUGAAAUGCAUAGAUAUUACACAGAACACCGAUUGCGAAGGCAUCUCACAAAGCCGUUAUUGACGCUGAGGCACGAAAGUGUGGGGAGUCAAACA